rnacentral:tRNA from 1 species
GCCUGGGUGGCUCAGUUGGUUGAGCAUCCGACUUCGGCUCAGGUCAUGAUCUCACAGUUUGUGGGUUCGAGCCCCACAUCAGGCU